rnacentral:rRNA from 1 species
AGAGUUUGAUCAUGGCUCAGAACGAACGCUGGCGGCGUGGAUAAGACAUGCAAGUCGAACGAGAAAUGCGAAUAGCUUGCUAAUUGCAUUUCUAGUGGCGGACGGGUGCGUAACACGUGAGCAACCUACCCUGAAGCGGGGGAUAGCCUUCCGAAAGGAAGAUUAAUACCGCAUGUGGCCUUCGGGUCAAAGACGGCUUCGGCUGUCGCUUUGGGAUGGGCUCGCGGCCUAUCAGCUUGUUGGUGAGGUAAUGGCUCACCAAGGCUACGACGGGUACCUGGUCUGAGAGGACGAUCAGGCACACUGGAACUGAGACACGGUCCAGACACCUACGGGUGGCAGCAGUCGAGAAUCAUUCACAAUGGGGGAAACCCUGAUGGUGCAACGCCGCGUGGAGGAUGAAGGCCCUCGGGUCGUAAACUCCUGUCAUCGGAGAGUAAGCUUUGGUCGUUAAUAGCUUCCAAAGUUGAUAGUAUCCGAAGAGGAAGGGACGGCUAACUUCGUGCCAGCAGCCGCGGUAAUACGAAGGUCCCAAGCGUUGUUCGGAAUCACUGGGCGUAAAGAGUAUGUAGGCGGUAUGGAAAGUCAGAUGUGAAAUCUUGGGGCUCAACCCCGAAACUGCAUCCGAUACUCCCGUACUAGAGUAAUGGAGGGGUGACUGGAAUUCUCGGUGUAGCAGUGAAAUGCGUAGAUAUCGAGAGGAACACUCGUGGCGAAGGCGAGUCACUGGACAUUUACUGACGCUGAGAUACGAAGGCCAGGGUAGCGAAAGGGAUUAGAUACCCCUGUAGUCCUGGCAGUAAACGGUGCACGCUUGGUGUGGCGGGAUUCGACCCCUGCCGUGCCGGAGCUAACGCGUUAAGCGUGCCGCCUGGGGAGUACGGCCGCAAGGCUAAAACUCAAAGAA